rnacentral:rRNA from 1 species
AGCGAACGCUGGCGGCAGGCUUAACACAUGCAAGUCGAGCGGGCACUUUCGGGUGUCAGCGGCGGACGGGUGAGUAACGCGUGGGAACGUGCCCUCUGGUUCGGAAUGACUCAGGGAAACUUGAGCUAAUACCGGAUACGCCCUUUUGGGGAAAGGCUUGCUGCCGGAGGAUCGGCCCGCGUCUGAUUAGCUAGUUGGUGAGGUAACGGCUCACCAAGGCGACGAUCAGUAGCUGGUCUGAGAGGAUGAUCAGCCACACUGGGACUGAGACACGGCCCAGACUCCUACGGGAGGCAGCAGUGGGGAAUAUUGGACAAUGGGCGCAAGCCUGAUCCAGCCAUGCCGCGUGAGUGAUGAAGGCCUUAGGGUUGUAAAGCUCUUUUAUCCGGGACGAUAAUGACGGUACCGGAGGAAUAAGCCCCGGCUAACUUCGUG